rnacentral:tRNA from 1 species
GCCGAAGUGGCGGAAUGGCAGACGCAGGGGACUUAAAAUCCUCCGGCCGCGAGGCCGUGUGGGUUCGACUCCCACCUUCGGCA